UUGGUUCAAUUCUGGUGUUGAG
rnacentral:siRNA from 1 species